GCUCUGAUGCGUUUGUCGUAUGAGAACAGUUCAAAUAGACAGCCUAGCUGAGGCAGCAUGUGCUAGAUGCUGUAUACCGAUAAUUCUCUUUCCAAUCAGUUUCUGUAGAGCUGUGAUUCCACACUCAGAUACAGUGAUAUAAAUACUCCAAGUGGUGCAGUGAGAGUAAUAUGGAAAAAGAUGAUCUGCUGUGGCAACCCCUAACGGAAGCAGCUGAAAGAAGAAGGUGCACAGCUGAAAGAAGAAGAAGAUGCAGUGAGAGUAACAACACUAAAGCAGUUAUGGUAUUUGGAAUACUAUGGCUGUUCCCUGGACCAUUAUAUUGCUACAGGUUAAUUACAAUCAGAUGCAUUACACUAAUAAACAAUAUGCAGUUAAUUUCAGUGUAUUUAUAAAGCCGUGUCAGGAA